rnacentral:rRNA from 1 species
UACAGAGGGUGCAAGCGUUGUUCGGAAUUAUUGGGCGUAAAGGGCGCGUAGGCUGCGGGGCAAGUCGGGUGUGAAAUCUCAGAGCUCAACUCUGAAACUGCACUCGAUACUGCUUUGCUUGAGGACUGGAGAGGAGAUUGGAAUUCACGGUGUAGCAGUGAAAUGCGUAGAUAUCGUGAGGAAGACCAGUGGCGAAGGCGGAUCUCUGGACAGUUCCUGACGCUGAGGCGCGAAGGCCAGGGGAGCGAACGGG